AUUGAACGCUGGCGGCAGGCUUAACACAUGCAAGUCGAGCGGGGUGAUGUAGUUUGCUACAUUACCUAGCGGCGGACGGGUGAGUAAUGCUUAGGAAUCUGCCUAUUAGUGGGGGACAACAUUCCGAAAGGAAUGCUAAUACCGCAUACGCCCUACGGGGGAAAGCAGGGGAUCUUCGGACCUUGCGCUAAUAGAUGAGCCUAAGUCAGAUUAGCUAGUUGGUGGGGUAAAGGCCUACCAAGGCGACGAUCUGUAGCGGGUCUGAGAGGAUGAUCCGCCACACUGGGACUGAAACACGGCCCAGACUCCUACGGGAGGCAGCAGUGGGGAAUAUUGGACAAUGGGCGAAAGCCUGAUCCAGCCAUGCCGCGUGUGUGAAGAAGGCCUUUUGGUUGUAAAGCACUUUAAGCGAGGAGGAGGCUACCGAGAUUAAUACUCUUGGAUAGUGGACGUUACUCGCAGAAUAAGCACCGGCUAACUCUGUGCCAGCCGCCGCUGUAAUAC
rnacentral:rRNA from 1 species